AAAGGAAAAUAUUAUAAGAAAUGAAGAAAGAUCAAAAAUGAGGAAGAGGGCUCCAUUUCACCUAUUAAAUUUCUUCUCUUUCCUUUAGGACAAUGGCGUCGGAUUUCAAAUUUUAUGUAAAGGCCUUAAUUCUAUAUUGAUGUGACUUCUAGCUUCCAUGAAACUUAAAUACAGACCUUAUGAUGUUUGACAUUGGAUAAGAAAAUUCUCCACCUGGAUAAGCUGUUUCUGGAAAGCACUGGUGCAGCCUCUGUCAGAAGUCUUGCUCUGAUGGUCCACUGUACAGAUAAGGAGGCCACAAUGUGGAGAGAUUGAGUAAUAACCAGUAUUACCAGGAUCUUAAGUGGUAAAGCUAGCACUGACCAGGUGAGUAAAAUAAAGUGAAACAAAUAUGUUUUUCAUUGUAUCAG
rnacentral:lncRNA from 1 species